CAGCAGCAGCGUAUACUGAGAUGCAAGCAUCAAUCGUAUCACUAGCGUAUAGCAGGCGGCUAGCAGGUCUGUCAGUCAGUAUGUGUAUAGAACCCCGAGCGUGCACCAUCGGUAGCAGCAUCUAGUUACUAGCAGACUAGAAUGAUGCUAGAGGGUAGGCUGGAAGUACUGCCUGUAGCAGCGAAAUACGUAGAAGAAUACCGAGGAGCAUCAGCGGCGACGACGACUACUUGGACCAACACUGACGAUCAUGCUGCGAAAGAAAUGGGGGAGCAAACAGCAUUAGAUAACACGGUAGUACUCGCCGUAAACGAUGUCUUCUAGCAGUCGGGGAGCUCGUCUCUUCGGUGGCGCAGCUAACGCGAUAAGUAGACCGCCCUCGUGAGUACGGCCGCAAGCACUAAAACUCAAAAGAAUUGACGGGGGCCCGCACAAGCGGUGGAGCAUGUGGUUUAAUUCGAUGCAACGCGAAGAACCUUACCUGCCCCGACAUCCUCGGAACGGUCCGGAAACGGAAUGGUGCCUUCGGGAGCCGAGAGACAGGUGCUGCAUGGCGGUCGUCAUCUCGUGUCGUGAGAUGUUGGGUUAAGUCCCGUAACGAGCGCAACCCCUAUCCUUAGUUGCCAGCGAGUCAUGUCGGGAACUUUAGGGAGACUGCCGGUGACAAACCGGAGGAAGGUGGGGAAGACGUCAAGUCAUCAUGGCCCUUAUGGGCAGGGCUACCCACGUGCUACAAUGGGCGGUACAGAGGGGUGGGAAGUCGCGAGGCGGAGCAAAUCUCAGAAAACCGGUUGUAGUUCGGAUUGCAGUUUGCAACUUGGAUGCCUGAAGUUGGAAUCGGUUGUAAUCGGGAAUCAGCAAUGUCGCGGUGAAUACGUUCCCGGGCCUUGUACACACCGCCCGUCACACCAUGGGUAGUGGGCUGUCACACAAGUAAGUAGGUAGUCUAACCUCGGAGACGCU
rnacentral:rRNA from 1 species